rnacentral:rRNA from 1 species
AAACGGCAACUAAUACCGUAUACKCCCUACGGGGGAAAAAUUUAUUGCUAUUAGAUGAGCCUAUAUUAGAUUAGCUAGUUGGUGGAGUAAUAGCCUACCAAGGCAAUGAUCUAUAGCUGAUCUGAGAGGAUGAUCAGCCACACUGGAACUGAGAUACGGUCCAGACUCCUACGGGAGGCAGCAGUGGGGAAUAUUGGACAAUGGGCGAAAGCCUGAUCCAGCCAUGCCGCAUGAGUGAAGAAGGCCUUUGGGUUGUAAAGCUCUUUUAGUGAGGAAGAUAAUGACGGUACUCACAGAAGAAGUCCUGGCUAACUCCGUGCCAGCAGCCGCGGUAAUACGGAGAGGGCUAGCGUUAUUCGGAAUUAUUGGGCGUAAAGGGCGCGUAGGCUGGUUAAUAAGUUAAAAGUGAAAUCCCGAGGCUUAACCUUGGAAUUGCUUUUAAAACUAUUAAUCUAGAGAUUGAAAGAGGAUAGAGGAAUUCCUGAUGUAGAGGUAAAAUUCGUAAAUAUUAGGAGGAACACCAGUGGCGAAGGCGUCUAUCUGGUUCAAAUCUGACGCUGAAGCGCGAAGGCGUGGGGAGCAAACAGGAUUAGAUACCCUGGUA